rnacentral:sRNA from 1 species
CAUUUAUAUUUUAAUAAUUAAUUUCAAUCUAUUUGAAUUCCAGUUUUGUUUUUGUUUUUCUUUAUUCAAACAUGUGAUAGCAGAACAACUAGCAAGGUAUGUAGCCUACAACCCACAUUUAUGAAAUAGAUUUAAGUCUACUUUGGCUACUCAAAAAAGAUGAAAACUCCCAGGCAAAUAAAAGCCAUAACUUCACAGCUAGAGGUUUUAGAAGAGUUAAAGGAACAGUUAGAAUCCCUUAUUACAGAUAUAAACACAGUGACUUCCAAAGGAAAGUCAUGGAUUGAUGAUUCAGACAGCCAAAAUUUUUUAGAGAUGAAUCAAUACUUAAUUAAUGAAACAUCCAGAUGUUUACGACGAUGUUAUGAUC